UACGGGAGGCAGCAGUGGGGAAUCUUGCGCAAUGGGCGAAAGCCUGACGCAGCAACGCCGCGUGUGUGAUGAAGGUCUUCGGAUCGUAAAGCACUGUCGGCAGGAACGAUGGUUAGUGCAGCUAACAUCUGCAUUGAUUGACGGUACCUGCAAAGGAAGCACCGGCUAACUCUGUGCCAGCAGCCGCGGUAAU
rnacentral:rRNA from 1 species